GGGAUCAUCACCUAGUGGUAACAAAUGUUCAAGAUGCGGUAGAAGACCUCAUUCAAAACAAGAUUGUCCAGCUAGGAGCGUUACAUGCUACUCCUGUAAAAAGGCUGGUCACUUCAGCUCACAGUGCUUCUCAAAACACAAAAAGAGAGUUUCUGACAUUAAGAUAGAGGCACGGUCAAAGGAACUGGGGACAGACGAGGAUAUAAAAUACCUCAAUGUAAUUAUACUCUGGGCCCCAAUCAAAGCUCACUUAAUACCACACUUAGUUCAGAGUAGAUAGUUAUAUUACACUUAUAAUUUUAACUUUGAUUCUGAGGUAUCUAAAGUAUUGCUGACAACAGAGUUGCCAGGAGAUGAGAAUGCUCUUUAUGAAUAUGUUGAUGAGCUUAGAGACUGUCCUUUAUCACCUUCUUCCUCAUCCUCCUCUUCCUCUGAACAACAGAUAAAUGCAUUAUCAUUAUAACACUUCAUGUGCCUCAAACAUACUGUCUGUUUUGUUUUAUAAUAAUUUCACUUUUUAUAAUGAGCGCAA